rnacentral:lncRNA from 1 species
GCUGCACUUAGCUGAACAGGAACUAGCAGAACACACCACGAUGUCCCAAGCGACCCUCGCGGGCACACUGUUGCACCACGGCUCCUGCCCUUUCACCUCCUCACACCCGAAGGCCCCCGCCAGGCCCACUCACAACUGAACUGUGCUUUAACGCCACCCGCUGAGAACCGGGAGAGCCCGAUGCACCGUACCUUGCGUGUUUUCAAGAUAGCAUUUGCAGUGUGUGCUCAUCCAGAUGCUAUAGGAGAAACUGAAAUGACUGCUCGGGUGGAACGGCUGGUCAUUGGAAACCUUGACGUCUGCACUGAGACCAAGUCUACUCAAGGGGCGCUCCAGGAGAUGAACCUGAGUUGGAGGAAGGAGUGGGAGCCGUGCAGGGUUUUCCCGGCAAGGGCGGCUGCGUGGACCACUGCCCCCUGCACUGCAGGGCUGGGCUCGGCCGCCUGCGCUGUUCCCGCUAUCCCUGGUUCGCAGCAGCAGCCGAGGCUCGGGCUCUGCCCCAGGCACGGGGCACGUCUGUGCAGUGCUAGGCAGGCAGGAAGCCCGAAGGGCCUCCCCCGGCCUGGUGCAGCCGAUGAGCCUGUUCCCAGGCUUCAGCUCUUCCCUGCCGGCUCUGCUUGUCGCUGGCUUGGGCUUUGGUGCCAGUAGGGCAGGGCCAGCUCCCCCACUCUGCGAGAUGCCCCUGCAAGUUUCCAUCCCCACUGCUGCUUGGGUGACCGCCUCCUGUCCCCUGCUCCCCUCCCCCCUGUCCACAGCGUGGUUGGGGGCAGCGCGGCCUCUCUGUGAGGCCCUCCAGGGUUCUCCUGGGUCUGCUGUCCCACCGCAGUGAGGAAGGUGGUACUUGCUAAGCCUCAGGGAUCUGGGCGUGCACUGGAUGCCGGCCUCAGAGAGGAGACUGACUGCUUGCAGACGGCGGGUUCAAGGGUGCUGUCGCCUCCUCCCCUCGCAACACGGCACAGAGGUCAGGGUCAUUCCCACUUCCCUGGGGAGGUCGCGCACAGAAGACCUGAUGCCUGCUCGUGCCUCUGGAGGAGUUGCUCCAGGGACAUCCACAGCUGAGUCCUCCUGCCUCAGCCUCCCAAAUGCUUGGACUACAGGCAUGUGCCACUACAGCCAGGCUGUUAGAUUACUUCUAACUCUAAACUUCACUUAGAUUUCACCAGACUUUCAGCUAAUUUUCUUUUUCUGAUUCAGCUCUGGUUACCACAUGGCACCCAGAACAAGUUAGGAUUAUUUUCUUCUCCAUAAAAUUAAAACAGCAAAAAUCUCUUCUUAGAGAGUAACAGUGGAUGAACUUUAUAAGAAGUGGGUAGAAUUAAUCCAUAAGAAACAAGGCAAACUGAGUGUGGUGCACAUGCCUAUAAUCGCAGCACUCAGGAGGCUGAGGCAGGAGGAUUGCCAUGAGUCUGAGGCCAGCUGGGGUUCAUGGUAUGUUCAACGCCAGCCUGAAAUGCAUAGUGAGACCCUGUCCCAAAAAGCCCCAGAAAACCACCCUCCCAAAGCCCAAAUCAAACCAAAGCAAACAAAAAACAUAAGGCAGUGAGUGUCUUAGGCUUUGCAGUCCAUACGACCUCUGCAGUAACUACUCAGCUCUGCCAUGAUAGAGCAGACAAUGACAUCAGGUAAGUGUGCAUGUGCAUACCUGUGUUCUAAUAAAACUUUAUUUAUAAAGAUGUGCAAAAGAAAAAAAGACAUGUACCUCAAUGGGCAAGUUUUGCUGACCUUCAACUUUAUUGAUCUGUGAUUCAGCAUCAAACUUGAUUUACCAGUCACAUACACUCUGCCUUCCCUUACUGGUACCAACCAUGUGGGACUUUUCUUUGUACUGCCCUUAGAUGAACGCUUGUGUGCUGAAGGAUCUACUCAGAUCCCUGUACCAUGGUGUAGACUGGAAGGGGCCAAACUCCCUUCACUGUUUUCUCUCCUAGGAGCUGUGCUCAGAGAUUCCCUGUGAAAGAUACUCCCCAGGCAUCACAGGGAUCCGCGCCGGCCACUUGUGAGAAUCAUGAUGUGAAAGUGCGGACUCCCUGCCUGCGGGCCAGGACUUCUGAGACAACCGUUCAGCCCAGCUAAGGAGCUCCGCGUACCUGGGGGGACUCUGCUGCGGCUCACUGGCUUUUCAGCAGUGACAGAUUCACUGCGUGCUCUGAGUCAAGCUUUUAUAAAAACGUGGGUUUUAUUUUUCAGAGAAGUACUUUAGGUUGAGAGCGAAGUCCAAGAGUCCCCACGUACCCGUCCUGCGCGUGGGCAGCGUUCUGAGCCCAGUGCUCGGUGCUGCUCAGUUCGGGCUGCGCUUGCUCUGCCCCGGGCUGCGCCGGCGUUGAACACCCUGCGGGGUGUGUCUCUGAGGGUUUGGAAGGAGACCCAUGCUUGAACCCACAGACUGAGGAAAGCACCUGACUGAGAGAGUGGGUGACCUUCUCCGGCUGGCUGCAGCGUCCCCUCGGUCAGGGGCCCGGAGGGAGCCCUUCCGGCCGGACCCGCUGAUCCGGGCCCCGCGCUCCCUCCCUCCCACUGGAGCUGAACACGUGGGCCCAGCCUGUCUCCAGCUGCGCCGUCAGCCUUCCCGGGUGUGCGGGCCGUGGGACUCGUCAGACUCCAGAGACACAGGACCUGACCCCCUACACUACAUCUGUCUCUGUUGGCUCUGUUUCUGGAGCAGGGAUCCCCAGUCCCCAGGCCAGGAACCCACGCCUGAUAAGAACCCAUCCUGUCACUGCCUGGCCCUGCCUCCUGUCAGAGCUGCGGUAGCGCUGGAGCCCCUCCGAGAGCUGUGCGCAGCGAUCGAGGCUGUGAGUCCUCUGAGGCCUGAGACCCUUCCAGCUGCCGCCCCCAGCCCCAACUACUGCCACAAAACCGGCCUCUGACACCAAAAAGACCGGGGACCUCUGCCCUGGGGAACCGGCGCCCGCACGCUGGCCCCUGCGCCGCAGCACACACUUCUCUCAGUGGGUGGUCUAUCCGCACAGGCUUCACCCAGAGUCCACCGUGCAGUCGUGCUUGAGGUCUUUUACCAAUUUUUAAAAAGUGUGUUAUGUGCUUACUGUUGAAUUUUGAGUUCCUUGUGCAUUUUGUGUGAUAGACCUCUAUCAAAAAUGUCGUUCGCAAACAUCUUCUGCCAGUAUUUUAGUGCCCCCGUUUACGGCUUGUCUGUCUCUUCCCACUGUCUUCCUCAGCGUAGAAGGUUUAAAUUUUGGCACGGUCGCACUUCCCAAGGGUCUCGCCUGUGACCCAGGCCUUGGACGCUGAGGCUGGAAGUCAUCACCAAGCCCACAUCAUCUCAAUUUUCUUUUCUCUUGCGAUUAGGAGUUACGUGAUUUUGCAUUCCAGUUAAUUUUCAUGAAAUAUGUCUAGAUUUAUUUUUUAAAUAAGUGCGAUGCCCAGUGGCCCUGGCACGCUUUGCGGAAGCUUUCUUCAUCAAGCAGCCGAUUCCUUGUUGAAGACUGUCUGUGUCUGGGGGCAUCAGCUGGCCUCUCCCCUGCUGCGUUGCGGAUAGUACUGUCUUGAUUGCUGCCCCUGGUACGUAAGCCUUGAGACUGGGAAAUCAGUCCUCCCACUUUGUCCUCCUUCAAUAUUGUAUUGGGUUUGUUAAUCUCUUAAAAUUUUUUUAUGAAACUUAGCAAUAAAAUUUUUUAACCGUAUGUCUUUUUUACGACACAUAAACUGCAUAUUGCUUUUAACUGAAAUAUCAUAUAGGUGUGUAUAUAAAAUUUGAAAAUCUUUACUUAUAGGUCUUACUUUCCCCCUCUCAGAACUUCCAAACUGUCAUGUAGCUCUAAUGCUCUUGUUUUCUAGACUUUCUCUAAGAUUUUAAUGCACGUGUGCCAUCCUGUUUUGGGUUUAUAGCUUUACGUAGUUGGGGAAAAUGGAUUUCCCACAGUUACAAGGUGUGGUUUUGGCAUGCUCAGUAAAAACCAAAACAAUAGUAAAAGGAAUUUCUAAAAAUAUUCUCCUGCUCAUGAAUAAUC